CUAAGGAAUCCUAUGGACAGGGCAUAAUGUUCUAUACAAACAACUGAUUAUACAAAUAUCAUGCAUUUCGAUACCGAAAUAAUAAAACGAAUACUGUCUCUUUCUAACUAAUGAAUAUUCUGCUAAGUGAAAAUAUAUGACUAUACGUCAGUCAGUGCUAAUUCUAUACCGUUUGACAUUUGAAGUUAGCUCAAAUACCUACUGUGGCCGGGCGCCAUUUUAUGUUCUCGUUAUUAUGAUGUACAUGCUCUGUCAUUGCUCCGUAGUAAACAUU